GGGGGUAGAGCUCAGUGGUAGAGAGCAUUUAACUGCAGAUCAAGAGGUCCCCAGUUCAAAUCUGGGUGCCCUGU
rnacentral:tRNA from 1 species